rnacentral:rRNA from 1 species
GACGAACGCUGGCGGCGUGCCUAAUACAUGCAAGUAGAACGCUGAAGGAGGAGCUUGCUUCUCCGGAUGAGUUGCGAACGGGUGAGUAACGCGUAGGUAACCUGCCUGGUAGCGGGGGAUAACUAUUGGAAACGAUAGCUAAUACCGCAUAAGAGUAGAUGUCGCAUGACAUUUGCUUAAAAGUUGCAACUGCACCACUACCAGAUGGACCUGCGUUGUAUUAGCUAGUUGGUGAGGUAACGGCUCACCAAGGCAACGAUACAUAGCCGACCUGAGAGGGGGAUCGGCCAGACUGGGACUGAGACAGGGCCCAGACUCCUACGGGAGGCAGCAGUAGGGAAUCUUCGGCAAUGGACGGAAGUCUGACCGAGAAACGCCGAGUGAGUGAAGAAGGUUUUCGGAUCGUAAAGCUCGGUUGUAAGAGAAGAACGAGUGUGAGAGUGGAAAGUUCACACUGUGACGGUAUCUUACCAGAAAGGGACGGCUAACUACGUG